rnacentral:lncRNA from 1 species
GGCUGCUUCACUUCUUCAGUUAAUUAAAUGAAACAGAAACCGAGAGAGCGAGAGAGGGAGGUAUUAGUGUGCUUGAGUGACAACAGGUUCAGACAGUGUGACGAUUGUGUGUGUCAGAGUAAGGUGAGUUGGGCCCAGAACACAGAGAGCGAGUGAGAGCAGAGUCCAGCGAAAACAGCCAGAAGAUUGCAAAGACUGGAUUAACAUCUCCUCCUGAGUUCACAAGACCAUGACUAUCGGCAGGAGCUCCAGAAAGAACAAGGCCCCUCAUUCUCCUCCUUUCCUGGACAAGGCUAAUGGAUUCUAUGGGCGCUUGGAUGAGAUGUUUGGAGACGAUGUACAGAUGGAGAGAGAGACCAUAGAAGAACAGAUAGGAACCUUAAACCGGAGCACCCAAGACAAUAGUACAGCUCCAGGCUGGAUAGAAGAAGAUGACCAUGUGGUUGAUUUUAACCAGGGUAUGAUGGAUGACGAUGGGACCACUUUACUGAAGAAAAAGCCCAGCAGACUGAGUCGCCGCUGGAGCAGGAUGAGCUCCAGGAAGGGAAAAUAUGACAAAUUUCCCUCAGAAAAAGAACUUGGUAAUGAGACCAACAAGCCCACCUCUGUAGAUCUAAACCCAGAGGUGCCACCAGCAACCCAAACCCUGGAAAACAGCAAAGAACCAGAACCAACGCUGAUCCAUUUCUCUGUGAGGGAGCAUACUGAUGACCAGACUCUGAUAUCAGGGAAGAAAGAAGGAGAACGGGAAAUGGAAGACACAAGAAAAGAGAAGAAGACAGAAGGCAAACUGAAUGGAGAGUCAAUGGAAGUUGUAAAGAGGAACAAUCUCAAGAAUUAUCGCAAGGCCGUGGACAGAGCUUUCCGUCGAGGAUGGGAGACUUUUGUUGCCAAUCUGUACAGUGUGACACUGACACCUAUAUCAUCAACCUCCUCUUCAUCCACACCAUCAGACAAAACUGAAUUCAACAGGAAUCGUGUUUUAGCAGAAUUCAGAUAACAGUAGAACAGACUCAUUUGUAUUUUCAUAUUGAUGAGUAAUUUCAUUUAUUCAUUUAAGUGUGCUCAAAUAUUUAAUUUGCAUUGUUGUUCUUGCAUAAAACUGAUAACCAUCAAUCUUGUUUUAAACUGAUCAUUAUGUAACCUGACAUGAAAGGUCAAUAUUUGAACUUUUAUCAGUGUAUAAAUUUGUUAUCACAGUGCUAACUAAAGAGGCGUCUACCUGAUCUUUGUUCCCUUGUGAGGAAACAUGAGGCCUAUAAUUAUCCAAUGUGGACAGAUCCUUUUUAUUUGAUGUGAUAAUGUUUUUGAGUAGCAGAGUUCCUGUACUUUGGCGAUGAACGUGUAUUACAGGUUUUGUACCAAAGGGUUAACCCUUAAAAAAAAAAAACUGGGAGCUCAUGGAUUUUUUUUUUAAUGUCAUCAACAGGUAACAUCACUGGCAGUGAAGUAUAUAAAUAACUGAGCCGAGAGAUUAAAUGAAGAUGGCUUUUGUUUUCUUGGGACUUAUUUAUCUUGUCUAACUUAGUUUGCUGAACCCAGUUUCCUAAUGUUAUGAAGGAGAAUUUUUAUUUGUAGCGUCUUUUUUAUCUGCAUUGUGACAUCAAAGCAGUGCUUAUAAUAAAAAGGAAAAGUGAGAAAAAAGUCAAUCUGUUUGGCU